UCCCUGCUCGUCCAGUGGCUAAGACUCCGCAUUCCCAAUGCAGAGGGUCCAGGUCUGAUCCCUGGUCAGGGAA
rnacentral:tRNA from 1 species